AAACAAAAAGAAGAAAAAAAAAAGAAGAAAAAGAGAGGAAAAUGAAAAAGCGAGAGUAAAAGAAAAGAAUGAAGUGAAAGCCUCAUGUGUCUAUGCAUUCAUGCACCAUCAUGGCAUAACAUCAUCUCAGAGAAAGCGAGGAAAAUUGUUUGCAAAAUCUUCAUGUUUUACUCGGCAUUUAUCAACUUUUCAAAGUUGCAAAUCCAGGUUUUAUUUUUCUGUUAUCGACCCUCUGCGUGGCAAUGGUCAGAUUUAAAUUUCUGUUUUGUGAGUUUGGCCCUCUACGAGGCAAUGGUCAAAUCCAGGUUUUAGUUUUCUGUUAUCGNCCCUCUGCGUGGCAAUGGUCAGAUUUAAAUUUCUGUUCUGUGAGUUUGGCCCUCUACGAGGCAAUGGUCAAAUCCAGGUUUUAGUUUUCUGUUAUCGGCCCUCUACAUGGCAAUGGUCGGAUUUAAAUUUCUGUUAUGUGAGUUUGGCCCUCUACGAGGUAAUGGUCAAAUCCAGGUUUUAGUUUUCUGUUAUCGACCCUCUGCGUGGAAAUGGUCAGAUUUAAAUUUCUGUUAUGUGAGUUUGGCCCUCUGCGAGGCAAUGGUCAAAUCCAGGUUUUAGUUUUCUGUUAUCGGCCCUCUACGUGGCAAUGGUCAGAUUUAAAUUUCUGUUCUGUGAGUUUGGCCCUCUGCGAGGCAAUGGUUAAAUCCAGGUUUUAGUUUUCUGUUAUCGGUGUUGGUAUCGUAGGGGGUAAUUUUUAAAAGAGUUUAGCGUAGCGGAUUAAAACACAGAGAGCGUAAAGCGUAUUGGGUCACAGUUGAAACGAUUUUAGCCUUUUUUAUAAAAACAAUUUUCUUUCAGAAAAUUUACCAAGCAGUUGAUGUGCGUUAAAGUAAAAUGAGUAUAGGGCAUAAGAAAAGCACACAAGGAUUUUUAUACUGGUUCGAUUCAACAGAAUCUACGUCCAGUCGUU
rnacentral:lncRNA from 1 species